rnacentral:lncRNA from 1 species
GUUUUUUUUCUGAUUUGUACUUUUGAUUCAUGAUCUGAUUUUUCAUAAGGAAGCCUCGACAGCGUUUGUUUUCCUAUUGAAGAUCUCACAUUCAAGUCUUCACUGUCAAGAGCAAGCAGGGGAUAGAAUGUACCAAGUAACUUAGCAACCAUCCAAAUUCCAUCCACAUUCCAGGCCUGUGCUCCAGUUCUAUGGGAAACACCAUUCAAUCCAGAAAUAGACAAGAAAGAGGGUUGAAACCUUCAUGACAAUGCUAGAGAAUUAACAGUGAGAGAUGCAUUAAGCAACAACACAGUUUUGCCUUUUACAAGCUCCCUGAGGUUUUUAUUUCAGUCAGAGGACCAAGAUUUCAGUUCAAGUCACUGGAAGAAAAGAGCUGUCAUUUAUGCUCUCUACUUACAGGUAAAUUGUCUUGUGAUUAUUUCCACAGAACUCUGACGUGGAUAAGACUUGUAUCCAUUUUAUUAUGAUGUUCUUCUUUUUUACAAUUUAGUUCCCCAGAGGGCAAGACCAAGGAUUAUAUCUUUUGUGAUGAUAUGAAUGAUACAUCUUAGCCCCUUUACUUGCUAGAUGACUUCUCUUUAUUUCACAAUCAGAUAAGAACAGAGAAGACUCAAGCUGAUUAGCAGAUUUUUUGUUUUCCUCUCAAACUACAGCUACCUAAGAUCAGAACCCUCUGAUCAUUUGUGCUGCUAUUUUAAGAUCCAGUUUCAUUCUACAACUGGCUGAAGCAUGAAGUCAACUAAAAUAAAGAGAAUUGAGUGGAACUGAACUGAACUGAAGUGAAAUAAUGUGAUUUCCAGUAAACCUGACACCUUAAGGACAGAACAUGAGCCUUGCCCAUCUUCCUCCCAGAGUUCCCAGCACAAUCACCGACUUACACAAUACUCUCAGUGCAUGAGUGAUGAAUUUCACUAACAGCGACCCAUCUCUCUCUACAUAAUCCACUCCGGUUUCACCGGAGCUGAGAGUAUCAUGAAUUACAUCUAUAGAUAGCUGUAAGCUAAUGACCAAAGCACAUAACUGAAUUCAAACAUAUUCUUUAUUGCAGUCAGAUGUGAGAAAACAAAAUUUAGAAGACAAGCCAGAAAGGAAAUGAAGAACAUAAAGAGCCUGAAUUCUC